rnacentral:lncRNA from 1 species
CUCAAAACUGCUUUUACAGCCAAGCUGUCUCCGACAGCCGGUCCACAAGCUCUGCCGGGUCAUUUCACACUGUCAGGGAUAUUGAUUCAGUAACCGUCCAAGGUUAGAAAACCCGUGAGCGCGCAGCUGAAGAGGACCUUACAAAACCUUCUCUGAAGUUAACCUCGGAAAUCCUCGUCCUAUAUGCCCCAUGAAUUGCGUCUCCGACUGGAUUAUCCAAACUAGUGAGCCUCUGCCGAGUGUGCACAGCGGACUUGGGCACAGCGAGCUUGAUUAUAUUUCAGCAGGGUAGUUAACUCUUUGGGUGAUAUGGGGAAAUGGAAAUCUCAUUCACUGACCUAGAAUGAGAGGGAAGAGAUGAGUGCCGGCAUCCUGCUCUUUAUGUCCUUCCGGAACUCUCCAAUCUGUGUCGUGGAGUAUUCACCACAGAAGACUUCUUGGAUAUGAAUUUCAGCCAAGUCUUCAUUAGCCGGCAGUGACCACGCUGAAUUUCAGGAUCCAAAUGUAGCACCGAACCUUUCACAUGCAGGCAGUGCUGUCUACAUGUUGAGUUUUUGUCCUGAAUGGUACUUCCACCAUGGAGUCUGUUGUGCUAAGGACUGGGGGCCUACUAAGGUCUGGACUCCUGUUAUAGCCCUAGACUUCCAUGGGCAUUGUCCUCUGCGACAAGAAGGGCGCCGCGCCUGGCCCGGACCCCUCUCACGGCCAAGGACCUCGAGGACCCGCUGAACGCUUACUCCGCCGCCCAGGGCGGCACUUCCGGUGACUGGACCCUCAAGCCGGAGCUUCCGGGGCCGAGCACUCGGCGAUGGCCGAUUCGGUCCCACGGUCUCCUAGGGAAGGAGAGUGGGCCGAGAUGCUGAGAGGUCGGCAAGCCAACCGCCGGAUACCAACCUGGAGAAGCGGUCCCCGCACACCACAAGGCCAAGACAAACCGCUCUCACCAGCAAGGACAGGGAGGCGUAGCCACGCCCCGAGGCACGUAACUACCCCUCAUAGGGCUGCACCGGGAUUCCGGGCCAAUAAGCACCGGACCUCCCGAAAUGGGCGGAACCUGAGCGCGCCUGCGCCCUGGCUCUUUCGCGUCCGACAACUACCUUUUCAGCUCCUGGAAUUUGGGACUGCAGCAGCUCCGGUACCCACUGAAUUGAAACCGUGCCCUGCGCCCGGUACUGCGGCUCUGAACUUCUGUUUUCUUUCUCCACGGCUGUUCAAAUCAAGAGUUAGGAGUAGUGUCUCAAGGAUAGAUGCAGCGGACUCGGUUUUAAAUACCUUGAAAAGCCGGAGAAGUGGAGAAUUACAAAGGCUCUUUGGUGCUGUCACUCAUGCCAGCAAACUAUGAGAAGCUUUGAAUAGGCAGCGGCGGCGUGGCCUUAUUGCUGGAGAAAGCUGCGGGGAAACCGUGUUGAAAGGAUUUCUGUCCUUUCUGAUUGCGAUUCUAGGCUGAAGACAGAUUCAGAAAAAAAAACAAAAAACAAAAAAGAACAGUCAAUAUUUUCCCUACUUGAAAAAAAAAAUGUAUGUAGGCUGGCGAGAUGGCUUCUGUCGAGAGUGAGGAGCAAAGAGUGCUUCUUGCUAAAUAAAACCUCG